rnacentral:tRNA from 1 species
UCUAAUAUGACAGAUUAUAUGUAAUGGAUUUAAACCCCAUCAAUAAAGGUUUAUCCUUUUUUUAGAA